UAUAGCCCCAGGCGUGACCCAACUCGCAACUACAUUAUCCAGCAGGAAUUUUGCAUGUUUGUACACUUAUAAAAGCCCAGCCCCAGACGUGCACAUCCAUUGCCAUGCCUCAGCCCAUAUACAACCCAGAAAGCUCUCCACCGCCAUCAAGCCCCGACGAACGAUCGCUCCAAAACGAAUCAGAAACAGAUCUCACAUGAUCGAUCAGAAAACAAACCUCGUUCAUGCUGCGUCGCCAAUUCCCCUCGACACUUCGACUACUUGACUCGACGAACCGUACAUCCGGACCUGCGCGGCUGCGCCCGGCGGACGGCGCCACAGCCCCCAUCAACCGUUCUAUUCUGUUCAGCUCCAUUUACACAACCGGCUGGACAUGAUAGCUUGGGAGAGACACACUAGUUGUGGAGGUUGUAGGUGGACGGGCCCCCACCACACGUGACACGUCCCCCGCCGCUCGGUGAUGCCCACCAUGUUUUUCUCGGUGGAUAUGAGGAGAACCUAAGCGUUAUCAUCAGAGCCUAGCUGUUUCCUCGCCGAGCAGUUGACAGAUCCUGGUCAAGCUUAGGAGGGCGACCGCCAUGGAGCCCGGAAAGGUCAGCCACAGAUUCCCAAUUCAAAAUUAAGCAAGGUAGGGGGAACAUGAAUCAACGCUGAAACUGCUAUGUGGCUCUGGUGGGUGGUGUACCGGGACCUGAGUAUCUCCCCGUCUAUGUCUACAAGAGCAUCUUCGCCGACGACAUCGCCCACACCGACUCCAACGACGAGAUCCUCGGCGUCCUCUCCUUCAUCUUCUGGACGCUCACCCUCAUCCCGCUCCUCAACUAUGUCUCCAUCGUGCUCCAAGCCGACGACAA